AACGAACGCUGGCGGCAGGCCUAACACAUGCAAGUCGAGCGCCCCGCAAGGGGAGCGGCGCACGGGUGCCUAACGCGUGGGAAUAUGCCCUUGGGUGCGGAACAACGUCUGGAAACGGACGCUAAUACCGCAUAAUGACUCCGGUCCAAAGAUUUAUCGCCCAAGGAUUAGCCCGCGUUGGAUUAGCUAGUUGGUGAGGUAACGGCUCACCAAGGCAACGAUCAAUAGCUGGUCUGAGAGGAUGAUCAGCCACACUGGAACUGAGACACGGUCCAGACUCCUACGGGAGGCAGCAGUGAGGAAUAUUGGACAAUGGGCGAAAGCCUGAUCCAGCCAUGCCGCGUGAGUGAUGAAGGCCUUCGGGUUGUAAAGCUCUUUCGGUUGUGAAGAUGAUGACGGUAGCAACAGAAGAAGCCCCGGCUAAAUUCGUGCCAGCCGCCGCCGUAA
rnacentral:rRNA from 1 species